rnacentral:sRNA from 1 species
GCUGGGCCCGGUGGCGCACGCCUGUAAUCUCAGCUGCUCGGGAGGCCGAGGCAGGAGGACAGCAAGUUCAAGGCCAACCUAGCAAUUUAGCAAGACACUGUCUCAA